CACACUUGAUUCAUUUCUUUUUUAGCUCUGGAAAAAUAUUCUCCAGUUGGAAUGAGAGGUCAGGAAUGUGAGAAUUCAUACAUUGCGUGCAUGUGUGGUUAGUGCUGUGUGUGCCAAUUGCACACAUCACUGGCUGGGGGAAGUUAAAUCAUUUUUGGAUGCAGUUUGUGGCAAUAGCAUCCAAAGUGCCAACUUGAGGUCUUUGAAGUAGCGUUCUGCACAACCUGUUAUUGAGGCAUUUCUUGCCAGCUUGAAGCAGAGGAAGUACCCAUUGAAAGUGGAAUAUUUUCCAUCUCUUGCCAUUCAAGCCACUCAGGGACAUUCUUUCAAUUGAUUUGAAAAAUAGAACUUCUACACUUUUCUUUAUUUUCUUUCCAUCUGGGAGGACACAAUGACUUAUGAUACAAAUAUUUUCUCUUCUUAAAUCUUUAUUUGCCUCUCAUCUUUUCUAGAGCCGAAUUUAAGAAACAGAUGUGCAAAUAAGAGAUGGCUGAAGCGGGCAGGGAUUGUGAACACAAGAACUGACUUUAGGAGGUGAGCGGCUGGCUUCCCUUAGGCAGACGUUAGAAGGGUAAAUGGCACUCUUGCUCUGAGGUCUAAGGUUGGUUUCCGUGCCAAGUGCAGAUGUAGACUCCAGCACUUCCAGCUUCCUGCUUCCUCUCUUGACCCUCCAUGGAGGAAAUGAAGAUAGGAUGUCUACGGCAUCAGUCCCUCUCUCGGGGCUGUCCUCUCAUCUCCCUGCACUCCGAGAAAAACACUUUGGGAGCACAAAGUGAACUGUAACAACCUUGGCUGACCUUGGUCCCUGUACUUUGUUCUCAGGGUUAACGGACCUGCUUCUCACAGAGCUUUUCUUAAACAGUUCAUUCUACUGGGUUUUCAAUGUGCUAAGAAGUAAAAAGCCACACGAGAAGAGAAUUUUAAAAGACAUUAUCAGCUCCAACUGUGUGCAGCAAAGGUGUUGGAUUUUCAUUGUGGAUCCGAGCUUUUCAAGCCAGCAACUGGCUGAAAGAGCCACCAACUUUGUCACAGAGAACACUGGCAGGAACGCAUGGAGACGGAGACAAGCUAAUGCUCACACAAUCUGCAUUCAUAUUGUUCAAGAGGGCACUUCCAAAAGUUUGUGGACAGAUGGAAUUCAAAG
rnacentral:lncRNA from 1 species